rnacentral:rRNA from 1 species
AUGGCCGGCAUGGAUGAGCCGAUGUCCAGGCUCACCCACGACCUGAUCGCGGAGAUCCUCUCUCGCGUGCCCUACAAAUCUCUCUGCAUCUGCAAGUGCGUCUGCCCGGCCUGGCGCGCCAUCAUCGCCGACCCCGCGCGCCGGAAGAAGAUGUCGCAGACCCUGGCCGGAUUCUUCUACCGCAUCACCGGUGAAGGCAAGGCCGAGCCCAGCGGCUUCGCCGGCGUCGAGUACGCGGAUCUGUCUCCUUUCCCUUGGUCGGGCGCCCCCGAGACCCACCCGCGCCUGCCACUACCGCCCGACAGCACGGACUGCUUCUUCUCCCUCGAGGAUUCCUGCGAUGGACUUUUUCUUGCAAGCAUCCGCACGGGCGCCCCUUUUGGAACAUCUCGCUACAUGGUCUCCAAUCCAGCUAGCAGUGAGUAUGCUGUGCUGCCUCACUCUGGCUACGCUAGCAACAACAGCAUUGCUUACCUGGGUUUCGACAGUAGCGUAUCCACUCAAGAGUUUCAUGUGUUCGAGUUUGUACACGACUGGAGACACCCGGAACACGGCGGCAUACAUUUCAUGGUUGUGACAGAAGUGAGGAUUUACUCUUCAAAUACCGGUGCAUGGGUGGCAAUGGAACCCAAAUGGGUCAUUCAAGUUGGCUUGUGCUUUGGUCAGCCUGGAGUUUUCCAUAAGGGAUGUUUGCACGUGCUCACGGAUGAGUCCGGACUGGCGAUAGUUGAUGCACAAGGGCUAAAAUGGAGAACCGUCCUGCUGCCAGCUAAUAGUUCCUCGGAUUUCAUUGGGAAGUCUGCUGGACAGCUAUUGUAUAUCAACUCCCGAUACCGCUCAGACCGAUCUUUGACUAUGUUGGUUUACGCUCUUAGUGAUGAGAUUUAUAACUGGGAUGUGUGUCAUCAGGAUGGCAAAUGCAUGCACUGGAAAUUGUUGCGCAAGCUUUCAAAUGUUAUUCCAAAGAAUAAGUUUCUCAAAGUCAUUGGAGUACACCCACAUGCCAAUCUGAUCUUCAUAGCUCAUUCAGACAAUGGACUGUUGGCAUACGAUUUGGAUCAUCAUGAAAGUACAAUUGUACAUCACCUUGAUCAUAAGUACCCUGAAUUUGUGCAAUUUUUCCCAUAUGUGCCACUAUUGUCCUGCCUACCAUUGGAUGGAGGAAUACGGCUGGUAACUCCCAGUUGA